rnacentral:lncRNA from 1 species
UAUGCUUUUGACAAUUCUCAACACUAAGUUUAUAUUAAUGUGAUAUUAAUUUUGUUCAUUGACAUUCUUAAUAGCUUUUUUGGAAACUUAGUUGUUAUAAUAUCAAGGUAAUAAAUACCUUUGCGUUUCUCUAAAGAUAUUUGAAUAUUGGAGCUAAACCCUAAAACUGCCUCUGAUUAAAAAUAAUAGUGAUACUGUCUAACAGAUGAACACGGGUUCUACCCAUGUUUACUUGGUUAGGGGGAAAAGGGCAUUUGUUUGGUAGCCAAUGGUGAAAUAAUAUAUUGUGAUUAUUAUUGAGUGAUAUACUUGGAAAAAUGUAAUUAUGUUUUAAAAAUGAGAUUCUUAGUGCUUUCAGUGGUAUUAUAAUUCAAACAAAUGGAUUGGUGUGGUAAUUUUUGCGUGUCUAUAAAUAUUAAAGAUGGUAAUUUUAAAAAAAGAAACUAAUUUAAAUUAUUCACAUCAAGACCAAAGAGUUCACUUUGAGCCUUCUUUAUGAACUUAUCUUUAUUAAGUCUAAACCAAAUAUAAUUUUCCUGACCUGUUCAAAAUAAGGUAAUAGUUACCUCUUGGCUUCCACCCAGUGUUUAUAUGAAACAAGCUAAUAGGCACCCCACAUACCCCAAUUUUGUCUCUAAUACUACUUUCCACAGUACCAAGACCUGCUGAAACCUAACUGGAUGCUAUGAUGGGGAUAAGGAAAACAUUUUGUUGGUUUUAGAACUGUUUUUUGUGGGUGAGAGUUGUUUUGGGAUUUUUUUUUUUUUUUUUUUUUUUUUUUUGGUAUUUGUUUUGUUGUUUGUUUUGUUUUAUUUUGCUGGAGAGCAGAGAUACUUUCAAAAGUGUGUGGAGGGGAGUUCCCAGGCUAGGGGUCUAAUUGGAGCUACAGCCACAGCAAUGCAGAAUCCUAGCCACAUCUGUGACCCACAGCACGGCUCGCAGCAGUGCCGGAUCCUUAACCCACUGAGUGAGGUCAGGGAUUGAACCUGCAACGUCACAGGUCCUAGUUGGAUUCCUUUUUGCUGCACCAUGACAGGAACUCCUGUAUUGUUAAUAUUAAAGUCAUUUUUAAAUAUAAGCAGUCUAUCAUAAGAACUUAAAAUCACAGGAAAAAGAAGUAGGUUUUUUUAAUCAUAAGAUUAAUAAUAAAGGGAUGUUUCUUUCAUCAUCUGCCAAAUAUUUAAGCCUUUAAUUUGCUCCAGGGCUGCCCAAGCCUAGACUCUGGAAGAUAGAGUUGUUUAACUUUGGAUGGAGAAUCUCUCUAUAUUUGUAAAACACAUCAACAUAUACAACCAUUUGUGACCAGAGGUUGGAGUGGCUGUGGUAGAAUCCACAGGAAAUGAAUAGUUUUUUUUGUACUUGAAGCCAGGAAAACUCUAGUUGAUGCAACUGUGCCAAUAUUGCCAAAAAACCCACUGUGAUUUAGGGGACUUGUAGUGAUAAACUGGGAAGAGAUAAGCCCGAGAAUAAUUAAAAUAAUUAUGAAGUCCUUCUUCAUAGGACAUAAGAAAUGAGGAAGGAAGUGCCCCCAAACUGAAGCCUUGGGUAAAAGUCAUCAUAUGUGUUGAUUUAAAUGAAUAAACUAAGGUUAUGUUGAGCCCCCCUGCUGUACAUGAAGAUACUAAGCUAGUGAUGAUAUUACUGUGCUGGCCGGAAAAACAAUGAUAUACCUGCAAAAAUAUUUCUGGUAUUAUGUUCAAAGCAGCAUUCCUUAGGGCCAGAACCCCUUUAACUCAUAAGUGUUCCUAUUUAUUUAUUUAUUUGCUUUUUAGGGCCAUACCUGUGGCAUAUGGAAUUUCCCAGUCUAAGGGUCCAGUCAGAACUACAACUGCCAGCCUACACCACAGCCAUGGCAACAUGGGAUCUGAGCCAGGUCUGAAACAUACACCACAACCCAUAGCAAUGCCAGAUCCCUGACCCACUGGGUGAGGCCAGGGAUCAAAGCCAUGUCCUCAUAGAUACCAGUUGGAUUCAUUUCCACUGUGCCACAGUGGGAACUCCUCAUAAGUAUUCUUAAUCCAGAUCAAACUGAAGUAAAACAACCUUACGUGACAUUGUACUUUUAAACGAUGAAAAAAAAAAAAAAAAGGCUUACAAACUAAAAAUUAAAACUGAAUCAUGGUAAAUAUUUUGCACCUAUUAGUUAUCAGUGUAAGACUUGUAAAUGUUGCCUACACAUAGCCACAGUAAAACGUAGCAACAGUGCUCUAAUUUAAUACUGUUCUCUUGCUCUUUUUAAAAUGUUACCCUCGCUACACACUGCCUCUGUGUAUUUGCUACUAUCUUAAAUUGUCUCAAAAUACCACCAGUUUUCCAUCUUUAUUUUGCCUCUUUUUAAAAUGUUACCCUCGCUACACACUGCCUCUGUUACCCUCGCUACACACUGCCUCUGUGUAUUUGCUACUAUCUUAAAUUGUCUCAAAAUAUCACCAGUUUUCCGUCUUUAUUUUGCCUCAUAUUGUUCGAAUAUGUUAAGCCUUCUACAAAUAGGAGGUAGAACAAAAUAUUAAUACAGCAGAUCCAAUGCAAGGAUGAGACUUC